rnacentral:rRNA from 1 species
GGCGAUUAUUGCAUAAGAGAAACACCUCUUCCCAUUCCGAACAGAGAAGUUAAGCCUUAUUGCGCCGAUGGUACUGCAUAUCUGUGGGAGAGUAGGUAUUGCC